CUUUUUGUCUGCUCAGAGAGAACUCAGUUUUUAUUUUAUUUUAUUUUGCGGUUCCUUCGAUUGCACUGAUUCAUACAAUUCUCUUUCUUUCUUCUCUCAGUUAUCCCGUAUCGCCCAAAUACCCACCAAGGGAAAAAAGCAAAAACCACAAGUUAAGGAGAGUUUAAAGCGAGCGAAAAUUCAAGAAGCCAAAUGAACAUAACACGUACCAUCCCCCCCCCCCUGAAAUAUAUUUAAACUUUUGAUUUGAUGGAUCUAUAGAUCUAACCCUUUUAUACCCACAUGUACCUCUCUGUUUCUUUUGGAUCUCCAUCCUUUUCAUCUGCUGUAAUUUAGUAGCUCACCAGAAACCGCGCAGAUAAGCUUACUUUGUAUUGAGGGGAGACUGGUGGGGUUUUAUUGGACCGAUUCCUCCACAUCCAAAAUUGGAUGCAAUACUACUCCGUCGCCCCGGUGAGAUGAGGGAUGUUAUCAAGGUUGAUGAACUUUUUGAGGGCCUGCUGGCGGCCGUCCUCAGAACGUUAUGUCCACGCGAAUUCGGAUGCAGCAGGCCGGCAAGAUGGGC
rnacentral:misc_RNA from 1 species